rnacentral:rRNA from 1 species
ACGGGAGGCAGCAGUGGGGAAUAUUGCACAAUGGGGGAAACCCUGAUGCAGCAACGCCGCGUGAGCGAUGAAGGUCUUCGGAUCGUAAAGCUCUGUCCUUAGGGACGAAGAAAGUGACGGUACCUAAGGAGGAAGCCCCGGCUAACUACGUGCCAGCAGCCGCGGUAAUACGUAGGGGGCAAGCGUUAUCCGGAAUUAUUGGGCGUAAAGAGUACGUAGGUGGUUUUGUAAGCGUAAGGUGAAAGCCCGGGGCUUAACUCCGGCGAGCCGUAAGAACUGCAAGACUUGAGUGCAGGAGGGGAAAGUGGAAUUCCUAGUGUAGCGGUGAAAUGCGUAGAUAUUAGGAGGAACACCGGUGGCGAAGGCGACUUUCUGGACUGUAACUGACACUGAGGUACGAAAGCGUGGGGAGCAAACAGGAUUAGAUACCCUGGUA